rnacentral:rRNA from 1 species
GUCUUAUUGAAUUUAAUUUUAAGUCGAUCUGCCCAAUGAAUUUUUAAAUGGCUGCAGUAUAAUUGACUGUACAAAGGUAGCAUAAUAAAUUGAUUUUUAAAUGAAAUCUAGAAUGAAAGAAUUAAUGAAAUAUAUACUGUCUCAAUUAUAUAAAAUGAAUUUAAAAUUUUAAUUAAAAUGUUAAAAUUUAUUUAUGGGACGAUAAGACCCUAUAGAAUUUUAUAUUAAUUUAUUUAUAUUGUUAAUUUAAAAUUUAAAUUAAUAUUUAAUUGGGAGGAUUAUUAAAUUUAAAAAACUUUAAUAUUAUAUAAACUUAAAUUAAAGAAUUUUUUUUGAUCUUUAAAUUGAAAUUAUUAGAAUAAAUUACCUUAGGGAUAACAGCGUAAUAUUUUUUUAUAGAUCUUAUAGAAAAAAAUGAUUGCGACCUCGAUGUUGAAUUAAGAUAAAUUUUAAAUGUAGAAGUUUAAUAAUUAAGUCUGUUCGACUUUUAAAAUCUUACAUGAUUUGAGUUCAAAUCGACGUAAGU